GGCUGAAACAUUUAAUUUGCUUAUCCAUUCAUCCACAGGUGGAAACUGGAGUUUCUUCCACCUUUUGCCUAUUGUGAAUAGUGCUGCUAGGAACAUGGCUGUACAAAUACCAGUUCAAGUCCCUGUGUCAAUUAUUUUGGCCAACUUCAGCUCCCCCUGUAGACCUCGGUGUGCGUGUUUCUUCUAGAUAUCUGCAGCACCUCCUCCAUGGUUACGCUGAGAGGACUGUGGUCAAUGCAUUAUUACCUCUGUGACUGCUGACUUUCUCUCUCCACUGUGCAUACAUUCCUGGAGAGCAAGGACGAGGUCUCCCGUCAUUCCUGCUCUGUCCCCUGCACCCAGGGUGAUGCGGUCAGGGUAGCACCUCCAUGAAUAGUCACUGGACGAAUGAACGACCAAAUACCUGAAUGGAUGGGCUUUGCAGCGACUGCUGCAUGCUGGGGACUUAACGAAGGGCAUGGGCCUCUCCCAAGGAAGAAGCUGCAGAAGGGUCUUGGGAAGGACAUGCAGGAGAGCCUGGGCCAUGGAGGAGGCUGAGAAACAUGUCACCCAUGACCACAGCAGAGGCUGCUUUGUCCCUCUGUCCCUCCAUGCCUGCUCCUGUGCCCUGGAUGACGUGACUUUAUCCCACAGGAAUGACUGGCGUUCCUGAGACACCUGACACUUGGUGGCUGAGCAGAGCCCCAAGCUAGCCUUCAAGGGGCAGGACCAGGGGUUACUGUUUAUACUCAGAUCUGGAACUCAGUAAUGAGCUGGUGUUCCUUUCUGAAAUGACCGACUCCAGGAAGCUUAUGCCAUGGAGGCGGUGAGAGCAAGGUGUGCCAUCAGGCCAGCCUGGGUCUGAAUCAUGACCCCACUGCUUGUCACCCGUAACCUCAGGAAGAAAUGGUUUUAACUCUCUGAUUCUUGAGUCGCAAAAUAAUAUUCCCAGUGCCGUUGGGAAGGCAAAAUGAGGCACUGUGCUUAGUAUAUUGUAGAAAUGCAAAUGUUUACUUCCUUACCUCUAACAUGGACUGGAAUUCUUCCAUAGGUAAUGAAAAUGGCAGAUAUUAAGAAGCUCUAGAAAGGAGUGAAGCUUUUACCUUUUGUCCGGUCAUAAAUUACACGUUUGACCUUGGAUAGGAUGAAUACAAGCAUGAUUCAAUUCACUUCAACUCAACUCAAGGAAAAACUAGUUAUAUAUAUGUAUGUAUAGUUAUACAUAUUUACAUUUACUGCAGGCACAGAUAUGUGCUACAGCCCAAGAAGAAGAUGGUGAAAUUCCAAUUUCAUACCUCUCUCUUCUUCUUUCUCUAGAACUUUGUAUAUAAAGCAACAAAGCACUUCUUAAGGUCUUUAGCGUCCUGCUCUGCUAAUCCUAUGAUUCAGAUGGGACGAGCCUGCAGUGGGUAGGAAAUUAAUCUUGUUGAGCACCAACACUGCCGGCGCCUUCACUUGCUUUCUGAUGAAAUCUCCACCCCCACCCUGUAAUGCAGGUCUUCUGAACACGGAAACAAAGCCCCAUCUCUAGAAUCCCAGCAGACAGGGCCUCCAUGAAGGACUGGAAAAUUCCAGCGCCUCAGAGAACACUUAACCUGUCAUGAGUGUGGGUGGAGGAGGCGGGAGGGGAUACUGGCAGAUCUUUAGAAGUCCUCAGCUCUAAAGAUAUGGCAUUGUCUGCAAUGUGAUUCAAGAGAAAAACAUAACAGACUCAUAAAAUGCAAAACUUACAUGUAUGCUGAAGUUAAAAUGGCUUCUUCUGGAUAUUUCUGAACACAAAAUUCUGGAUAAUUUUAUCAAAGGUGCAUUUUCUCAUAGCUCUGGAACCUCUGCUUUGCUGCUGCCCUAAUGAGGCCCUUGGUCUGCCCACUGGACUAGGCAGCAGCCAGCCUCUGCUGUGUUCCAUGAGAUUGAGGGGUAAGCGAGCUUAGGCAAGGCCAGCUACUUCCACCGUCUCCCCGCUCCCCACCACUGGAUAAGGAGUUGAUUUUCUCUAAACAUUUCAUACAGGCACCCCAUAUAAGCACUAUUUACAGGGCACUCAGAGAAUCAGAAAAACUGAUGAGGCCCAGGACAUAGAUAGAUAGAUAGAUAGAUAGAUAGAUAGAUAGAUAGAUAGAUAACUAGAGAACUGUUUCAAGGGCACCAAGUGUGAUUACAUGUUCAAACCUGUCUUUGUUUAUUUUUCCCCCUCUCACAUGAAAAGAAAGACAGAUGUGUACCUUCUCUAUGAGUUGGUGCAACGUCUGGGUUCAGGUAGAAAAUCCUAGGCCCCCUUGAAUACACUCCCAGAGCUCAGUGGGUUCCUUGGAAAAUCUGUUGACAAUUUCCUGUGAUCUUGGAUCCAAAUGCUAUUUUCCAAAAGGCCUUAUGAUCAUGAUUUUAAGCAUCUCUGGAAACAUAUUGAAAGAACACACUCAAAAUAAUAUUCAGCCUCGACACCUUAACAAUUUCAGGACACAAUGGCAUAGUGCUCAUUCUUGGCAAGGAUGUGAGGAAAUAGGAAUUGUCAUAAACUUUUGGAGGGAGUGUAGAUUGAUAGCUUUCUUUUUUAGAGCAACUUCUAAAAUCUAUCAACAUUUUAAAUAUACAAAUAUCACCUUAGGUUAUUUCAUGCCUAGAAAUGUAUCCUACAGAGAUCCAUUCACACAAGGGCUCAAAGAUACGUGAGCAGAGAUAUUCAUUUGUAAUCAUGUUUAUCACAUUUUUAAAAACUGGAAAUAACCAAAAUGUCCACUAAUGAGUUAAAUAGUAUAUGGUGUAUCUAUUAUGUGGUAUACUACGCAACAGUUUAAAAAAGUAACAUGAAAAUCUGUGUACAUGAACUGACGUGAAAAGAAGCCCACAGUCAUUCAUUAAGUUAGAAACACAAGUUUUCAAACAGUAUGAACUAAAUCAUGAGUGUGUUGGUUUUUUAAGUAUUUAUAUAUAUGUUUGUCUAAGCAUAGGAACAUCCAGAAGAGAUCAUUCACUGCGGGGAGGGGAUUUUGGUGGUGGAAAAGAGGUAGAGGGUUUGAGAAUGGGAACUUUUACUUUUUAUUCUUCUAUAUCAAAUUUAUAAAUUUUCAUAUAUGAAGCAUAUGUCAAUUUCAAAAUAAAGGUGGGGUUUUUUGUUUUUUUGUUUGUUUGUUUGUUUGUUUGAGUUGGAGUCUCACUCUGUAGCCCAGGCUGGAGUGCAGUGGCACAAUCUCAGUUCACUGCAACCUCUGCCUCCCGGGUUCAAGCAAUUCUCCUGCCUCAGCCUCCCAAGUAGCUGGGACCACAGGCAUGUGCCACCACGCCCAGCUAAUUUUUGUAUUUUUAAUGGAGAUGGGGUUUCAUCAUGUGGCCCAGGCUGGUCUCAAACUCCUGACCUCAGGUGAUCAGCCCACCUCAGCCUCCCAGAGUGCUGGGAUUACAGGCAUGAGCCACCGUGCCUGACCAUUUUUUUUUUAAGAAUGUAUGGAGGCCCUUGGCAAUGGACCUUCUGAAGGUUUUCUAUCACCACCACAUAUGCCACAACUACUAGGUUGGUGCAAAAGUAAUUGCGGUUUUUACCAUCACUUACUGCAAUUACUUUUGCACCAACCUAAUAGUCAUUGCCACCAUUUCAAGUUCCAGACUCCUCCAAGUAUAACUGAACCUGCCGCCUUCAGAAACAGCAUCAUGAUCGGCUGCUGCAGGUGAGCGAGGAUGUUCAGAGCUCUGUCGGCUUGCUGGGGACAGAAAGAGCUUGGCAAUUUACCGAGCGUCCUCACAAUCUUGCCUUGCAGCAGACUUCAGGACUGGCAGGACAGUCUCGCAGGGAAUUCUUCUUCCCAUUUCUCCAGGGGAGGCUUGCACACGUUACGGACCUUGGUCCCAGUCAUGACUGGAAAGUCAGAGAGCCACAAGUGGAUCUGGAUAGACGCAAGUUAAGCUGAUGAGUUUGUCUCUACCACAGGGGUACCUGCCUUUCCCCAGGAUCAGCCCGAUGGCAAUUCUGGGCCCAAGCUCUCCCUCCUUGAUCAGGUCCCAGUGGAAACAGCCCACAUUGCCUCUCACUUUUACUUUUCAAGCUAUCUGACAGUUAAAUCAGACGUGUCAGGAACCCAUUCCAACUCUUUAAGAGUCUGCACAGCUCUGUGUCCUACUGUCGGUCACUUAGCAAUGCAUCGUUAUAGGGUGACUGGAAUCACCCAAAAAAGUCAUAUGUUGAAGCCCUAAGCCCUAGUAUCUCAGAAUAUGACCUUCCUUGGAGAUGGGGUAUUUAAAGAGGUACUUAAGUUAAAAUGAGGUCAUUGGGGUGGCCCUACUGCAGUAUGACUGCUGUCUUUAUAAGAAGAGGAAAUUUGGAUGCAAAUACAUACAGAAGGAAGCCCAGGGGAAGACACAGGGCGAAGACAGCCAUCUGCAAGCUAAGGAGGGAGGCUUGGAGCAGAUCCUACUUCACAGCCCUCAGAAGGAACCAACCCUGCCAACACCUUGAUCUCAGGCUUCUAUCCUCCAGAACUGUAAGACAAUGAAUUUCUGCUUUUUAAGCCACGCAGGCUUGGAAUUUUGUUAUGAUGGACCUACCAAUUAUACAUGCAGCUCUCAGCAGACAACUUUGUUUUCCUUAUUUCCAACAUCUUGACACAGGGCCUCACUGUCCUGUACAAACUGUAAUAUCUAAAAAAAAAAUCCUCAAGAGAAUGACAUUAAGAUAGUUCAGCUCCGCAAAAUAAAAUGCUAUCCCAGGCUAAGUAUUCUUUUUAUCUUAACAACCACUAACAGGGCUGAAUGCACCUUCACUAACUCCGGAAGCUUAUCAAAGGUCUGUAGGUAAAGCUGAGUGUGAAGGCACUUCCAAAAGGGGUUUGGCCCAUCUGAAGUUGAAGAGACCAGCCUCACUCUGCUUCAGGGUCCUUCAGUCUCUUCAAAGAGAAAAUGGAACUUUUCAGCAUAUAAAUCCCAGGAAAGAGGGUGAACAAGCUAAAGCCCUUGAAUUUGUUCCAAGGAGGAUACUGUCUGUCUUAAAAUUAUAAGCCUAUGUGUGUUUUGUUUGUUUGUUUGUUUUUGUUUUUGAGACAGGGUGUCACUCUGUCACCCGGGCUGGAGUACAGUGACAUAAUCUCAGCUCACUGCAACCUCCGCCUUCCGCCUCAGCCUCCCUAGUGGCUGGGACUACAGGCAUGAGCCACCAUGCCCAGCUAAUUUUUGCAUUUUCUGUUAGAGACGGGGUUUUACCAUGUUGCCCAGGCUGGUCUCGAAUUCCGGGGUUCAAGUGAUCCACACAUCUCGGCCUCCUGAAGUGCUAGGAUUACAGGCAUAUGAGUUUUUAUGAUAAAAAUAAUGCUUGCUUUUAGAAAUUUUGGAAAAUGUAGAAAAUGCAGAAAAAAGAAGAAAAUCGCCAUAACUCUACCAUGCUGAGACCACCUGUGUUUAUAUUUUUGUAUAUUUUUGCUUUGUUCUAUAUAGUUGUAUUUCAUAAUUGGAUGCAGUUAUAUACACAAUUUUCAUACUUUUUUAGUUAUAAAGAAUUCCUCCAUGUUAUUAUAAUCUCUCUUCAAACAUCAUUUUAAAUGACUGUAAAAUAUCCCAUCAAGUUGAUCAGUUUUCUCAAAUGCGAACUGCAGAACAUCUGCAUCAAAAUUAUAUGUGGUAUGUUAAAAAUGCAGACUUUUGGAUCUCACCCCAGAUCCAUUAAAUCAAAAUCUCUAGGG
rnacentral:lncRNA from 1 species